rnacentral:rRNA from 1 species
GGUUAAGCGACUAAGCGUACACGGUGGAUGCCCUGGCAGUCAGAGGCGAUGAAGGACGUGCUAAUCUGCGAAAAGCGUCGGUAAGGUGAUAUGAACCGUUACAGCCGGCGAUGUCCGAAUGGGGAAACCCAGUGCAAUUCGUUGCACUAUCGUUAACUGAAUACAUAGGUUAACGAGGCGAACCGGGGGAACUGAAACAUCUAAGUACCCCGAGGAAAAGAAAUCAACCGAGAUUCCCCCAGUAGCGGCGAGCGAACGGGGAGCAGCCCAGAGUCUGAAUCAGCUUGUGUGUUAGUGGAACGGUCUGGAAAGUCCGACGGUACAGGGUGAUAGUCCCGUACACCAAAAUGCACAGGCUGUGAACUCGAAGAGUAGGGCGGGACACGUGGUAUCCUGUCUGAAUAUGGGGGACCAUCCUCCAAGGCUAAAUACUCCUGACUGACCGAUAGUGAACCAGUACCGUGAGGGAAAGGCGAAAAGAACCCCGGCGAGGGGAGUGAAAAAGAACCUGAAACCGUGUACGUACAAGCAGUGGGAGCACCUUCGGGUGUGACUGCGUACCUUUUGUAUAAUGGGUCAGCGACUUAUAUUCUGUAGCAAGGUUAACCGUAUAGGGGAGCCGCAGGGAAACCGAGUCUUAACUGGGCGUUAAGUUGCAGGGUAUAGACCCGAAACCCGGUGAUCUAGCCAUGGGCAGGUUGAAGGUUGGGUAACACUAACUGGAGGACCGAACCGACUAAUGUUGAAAAAUUAGCGGAUGACUUGUGGCUGGGGGUGAAAGGCCAAUCAAACCGGGAGAUAGCUGGUUCUCCCCGAAAGCUAUUUAGGUAGCGCCUCGUGAAUUCAUCUUCGGGGGUAGAGCACUGUUUCGGCUAGGGGGUCAUCCCGACUUACCAACCCGAUGCAAACUGCGAAUACCGAAGAAUGUUAUCACGGGAGACACACGGCGGGUGCUAACGUCCGUCGUGAAGAGGGAAACAACCCAGACCGCCAGCUAAGGUCCCAAAGUCAUGGUUAAGUGGGAAACGAUGUGGGAAGGCACAGACAGCCAGGAUGUUGGCUUAGAAGCAGCCAUCAUUUAAAGAAAGCGUAAUAGCUCACUGGUCGAGUCGGCCUGCGCGGAAGAUGUAACGGGGCUAAACCAUGCACCGAAGCUGCGGCAGCGACACUAUGUGUUGUUGGGUAGGGGAGCGUUCUGUAAGCCUGCGAAGGUGUGCUGUGAGGCAUGCUGGAGGUAUCAGAAGUGCGAAUGCUGACAUAAGUAACGAUAAAGCGGGUGAAAAGCCCGCUCGCCGGAAGACCAAGGGUUCCUGUCCAACGUUAAUCGGGGCAGGGUGAGUCGACCCCUAAGGCGAGGCCGAAAGGCGUAGUCGAUGGGAAACAGGUUAAUAUUCCUGUACUUGGUGUUACUGCGAAGGGGGGACGGAGAAGGCUAUGUUAGCCGGGCGACGGUUGUCCCGGUUUAAGCAUGUAGGCUGGUUGUCCAGGCAAAUCCGGAUAAUCAAGGCUGAGGUGUGAUGACGAGGCACUACGGUGCUGAAGUAACAAAUGCCCUGCUUCCAGGAAAAGCCUCUAAGCAUCAGGUAACAUUAAAUCGUACCCCAAACCGACACAGGUGGUCAGGUAGAGAAUACCAAGGCGCUUGAGAGAACUCGGGUGAAGGAACUAGGCAAAAUGGUGCCGUAACUUCGGGAGAAGGCACGCUGGUGUGUAGGUGAAGUCCCUGCGGAUGGAGCUGAGACCAGUCGAAGAUACCAGCUGGCUGCAACUGUUUAUUAAAAACACAGCACUGUGCAAACACGAAAGUGGACGUAUACGGUGUGACGCCUGCCCGGUGCCGGAAGGUUAAUUGAUGGGGUUAUCCGUAAGGAGAAGCUCUUGAUCGAAGCCCCGGUAAACGGCGGCCGUAACUAUAACGGUCCUAAGGUAGCGAAAUUCCUUGUCGGGUAAGUUCCGACCUGCACGAAUGGCGUAAUGAUGGCCAGGCUGUCUCCACCCGAGACUCAGUGAAAUUGAACUCGCUGUGAAGAUGCAGUGUACCCGCGGCAAGACGGAAAGACCCCGUGAACCUUUACUAUAGCUUGACACUGAACAUUGAGCCUUGAUGUGUAGGAUAGGUGGGAGGCUUUGAAGCGUGGACGCCAGUCUGCGUGGAGCCAACCUUGAAAUACCACCCUUUAAUGUUUGAUGUUCUAACGUUGGCCCCUUACCGGGGUUGCGGACAGUGUCUGGUGGGUAGUUUGACUGGGGCGGUCUCCUCCCAAAGCGUAACGGAGGAGCACGAAGGUUAGCUAAUCCUGGUCGGACAUCAGGAGGUUAGUGCAAUGGCAUAAGCUAGCUUGACUGCGAGCGUGACGGCGCGAGCAGGUGCGAAAGCAGGUCAUAGUGAUCCGGUGGUUCUGAAUGGAAGGGCCAUCGCUCAACGGAUAAAAGGUACUCCGGGGAUAACAGGCUGAUACCGCCCAAGAGUUCAUAUCGACGGCGGUGUUUGGCACCUCGAUGUCGGCUCAUCACAUCCUGGGGCUGAAGUAGGUCCCAAGGGUAUGGCUGUUCGCCAUUUAAAGUGGUACGCGAGCUGGGUUUAGAACGUCGUGAGACAGUUCGGUCCCUAUCUGCCGUGGGCGCUGGAGAAUUGAGGGGGGCUGCUCCUAGUACGAGAGGACCGGAGUGGACGCAUCACUGGUGUUCGGGUUGUCAUGCCAAUGGCACUGCCCGGUAGCUAAAUGCGGAAGAGAUAAGUGCUGAAAGCAUCUAAGCACGAAACUUGCCCCGAGAUGAGUUCUCCCUGAGACUUUAAGUCUCCUGAAGGAACGUUAAAGACGAUGACGUUGAUAGGCCGGGUGUGUAAGCGCAGCGAUGCGUUGAGCUAACCGGUACUAAUGAACCGUGAGGCUUAACCUU